rnacentral:rRNA from 1 species
UACGGGGGGGGCAAGCGUUGUUCGGAAUUACUGGGCGUAAAGGGCGCGUAGGCGGCCUUCUAAGUCGGAUGUGAAAUCCCCAGGCUUAACCUGGGAACUGCAUCCGAUACUGGAUGGCUUGAAUCCGGGAGAGGGAUGCAGAAUUCCAGGUGUAGCGGUGAAAUGCGUAGAUAUCUGGAGGAAUACCGGUGGCGAAGGCGGCAUCCUGGACCGGCAUUGACGCUGAUGAGCGAAAGCUAGGGGAGCAAACGGG